rnacentral:rRNA from 1 species
CAGUCGCCACGGUAAUACAGAGGGUGCGAGCGUUAAUCGGAUUUACUGGGCGUAAAGCGUGCGUAGGCGGCUUUUUAAGUCGGAUGUGAAAUCCCUGAGCUUAACUUAGGAAUUGCAUUCGAUACUGGGAAGCUAGAGUAUGGGAGAGGAUGGUAGAAUUCCAGGUGUAGCGGUGAAAUGCGUAGAGAUCUGGAGGAAUACCGAUGGCGAAGGCAGCCAUCUGGCCUAAUACUGACGCUGAGGUACGAAAGCAUGGGGAGCAAAUGGGAUUAGAUACCCGCGUAGUCCCUGUCUCUUAUAC